AUGGCUCAGGACAAACGCUGGCGGCGUGCUUAACACAUGCAAGUCGAACGGGGUCCAACGAUAGCUUGCUAUCGGGAAGACCUAGUGGCGAACGGGUGAGUAACGCGUGGGUAACCUGCCCUAAAGAUUGGAAUAACCCCGAGAAAUCGGAGCUAAUACCAAAUAACGUAACAUUAAGGCAUCUUUUUGUUACGAAAGGAUUGCUUUUGCUUUCGCUUUAGGAUGGGCCCGCGUUUCAUUAGUUAGUUGGUGAGGUAACGGCUCACCAAGACUACGAUGGAUAACCGGCCUGAGAGGGUGUACGGUCACACUGGGACUGAGAUACGGCCCAGACUCCUACGGGAGGCAGCAGUGGGGAAUUUUCCGCAAUGGGCGCAAGCCUGACGGAGCAACGCCGCGUGGACGAUGAAGGCUUUCGGGUUGUAAAGUCCUGUCACGGGGAAAGAAGCUCCGACGUAAGUCGGAGUGACGGUACCCCGAGAGGAAGCCCCGGCUAACUACGUGCCAGCAGCCGCGGUAAUACGUAGGGGGCAAGCGUUGUUCGGAUU
rnacentral:rRNA from 1 species